CCAUGUGUUUUCUCACUCUCAUGAUUUCUCUUGUUAGAAUGAAGAUUCUACGUGGUGGACAUUCUAUGAAGUUCCACCAUUCAACCAUCUCCUACUGGUCCUCCCACAUUGAAUUUGGGAUGUCCUUGUAGGGAUCCAUGAUUAGCCUUGCACAGCGGACAAUCAUCAUGGCCAAAAAAACACAGAGAAGUAGGAAUAAGGCAAUGGCA